rnacentral:rRNA from 1 species
AACCUCCGCAAUGUGAGAAAUCGCGACGGGGGGAUCCCAAGUGCCAUUCUUAACGGGAUGGCUUUUCAUUAGUGUAAAGAGCUUUUGGAAUAAGAGCUGGGCAAGACCGGUGCCAGCCGCCGCGGUAACACCGGCAGCUCUAGUGGUAACAAUUUUUAUCGGGCCUAAAGCGUCCGUAGCCGGUUUAAUAAGUCUCUGGUGAAAUCCUGUAGCUUAACUGUGGGAAUUGCUGGAGAUACUAUUAGACUUGAGACCGGGAGAGGUUAGAGGUACUCCCAGGGUAGAGGUGAAAUUCUGUAAUCCUGGGAGGACCGCCUGUUGCGAAGGCGUCUAACUGGAACGGUUCUGACGGUGAGGGACGAAAGUUAGGGGCGCGAACCGGAUUAGAUACCCGGGUAGUCCUAACUGUAAACGAUGCGGACUUGGUGUUGGGGUGGCUUUGAGCUGCUCCAGUGCCGAAGGGAAGCUGUUAAGUCCGCCGCCUGGGAAGUACGGUCGCAAGACUGAAACUUAAAGGAAUU